CCUACGGGGGGCUGCAGUAGGGAAUUUUGGACAAUGGGCGAAAGCCUGAUCCAGCAAUGCCGCGUGUGUGAUGAAGGCCCUCGGGUUGUAAAGCACUUUUGGUAGGAACGAAAAGGUCCGUGCUAAUACCAUGGAUCGAUGACGGUACCUGCAGAAUAAGCACCGGCUAACUACGUGCCAGCAGCCGCGGUAAUACGUAGGGUGCAAGCGUUAAUCGGAAUUACUGGGCGUAAAGCGUGCGCAGGCGGUUUUGUAAGACCGAUGUGAAAUCCCCG
rnacentral:rRNA from 1 species